UACGAAGGGGGCAAGCGUUGUCCGGAUUUAUUGGGCGUAAAGAGCGUGUAGGCGGUCAGGUAGGUCCGUUGUGAAAACUCGAGGCUCAACCUCGAGACGCCGAUGGAAACCAUCUGACUAGAGUCCGGAAGAGGAGAGUGGAAUUCCUGGUGUAGCGGUGAAAUGCGCAGAUAUCAGGAAGAACACCCGUGGCUAAGGCGGCUCUCUAGUACGGUACUGACGCUGAGACGCGAAAGCGUGGGGAGCGAACAGG
rnacentral:rRNA from 1 species